CAUCUUGGCAGGCCACGAAUCAAAACAAGAUUGCUACGAACCAUUCUGAAACGUAGCUCAAAAGAAAAUGACGGUAUAGAGACAGAUUGUGUCCAGAUGCAAAGAGACGGUACUUGAUUGUUGAAAUGUGGACCCGUAUGAAAUACGGCCGUGGAGUAGAAACCCUGAAGACCAAACCGCUAUUGACUUAGCAUGAUCUACUCUCGUACCUUGUCUGUGGAGUCAGCGCAUACAUGGCGCACCAGUUUCGCAAUUAUAAAUCUCUGGAGGCGCACAUCCAAUUCACCAAGGACUGGGUACAAGAUUUGGCUAUUUUUAAGCCUCCACGUUGUGAGUACGCCGUCAUUCAAGCAAAGGUACUGCACUCUUAAAGACUGAAUUGCACCAUUGCAGCCACAGGUCAUUGUGAGCAUCACAGGGAAGGUUGAAGCCGCCCACUGCA